rnacentral:lncRNA from 1 species
GCUGGCUCCGCCCAGGGCUUCCGCCCCGAGGCCCGUCGGUCGCCGUUCGGUUCCGGCUCUAGCCCCGCCCUCAGGCGGGAACCUGCAGAAGUCUUAAUAUCCGGGAGCAGGGGCUGGCGCCUGCGCGCACUUCCGGUGACGGAGGCGAGGGUAGGAUCCGGUGACGCCUCUUCCCGUCUCCCCAGCCGCUCGGGCUCCGGCUCUCGGUGCGGCAGCGCCAUCUGGUGCCGAGUGUCCCGCCGCCCGUAGAGGGGGCGCGCGCCUUUCUCUCGGAACCUUCCAGAGAACCCGCGGCCUAGGCUUUCUUUUCUCCCGCCCUCGGGAAGGGAGGGACCCGAGUCUCCGCCCUGCCGAGUUCCCGCGCAAGAGGUCCUUGGCCGGCCUUUGAAGCGGAAGCUGCUCGGAGGAGGAGCUGUAUAUGCGCAAGAUGGAGGGCAAACAGUUCUUUUUCUAGUUUUAAGCCCAGGAAAAGCGGUUCUCUCUUGUUUGGCUUUCUCAAGGCUCGUCCUGGGCUGCUCCCCGUCAUCCUCGCGUCAAUUCCUUACCCUGUCGGGAGUGGGGGCCCCCGUUUCUCGCGUGGUGGGAAGAUGGCACAGGCUUUGUGGCUUAGGUUGGCCUCUGCGGUAACCGCCUUGUUUCUUUCCCUGAUUAAAGCAGUGUUGUAAAAGGGUGCAGUGUGUAUUGGGAGCCCAUCGAGAAGGGGAGAAUUUAGAGCAUAAUUUGCUUUCAGACAGCCCAAAACAUUUUGGAAAAGUAGCCCCAGAAACACUCGGGCUGAAUAUAGAUUUGUUUGCAUGGCCUUUUUCUUUUGGAUAACCAGAGAGGGAAAGUCAUUUCCCCAAAGUCAACAAAAUCAACACACAUUCUCUCUUGAUAAUGAAUUCUUGCUUGGAAACGUAGAUUUUCUUGGAAGCUUGUAGGCCUGACAAUCUUAGAUAGCCAGCGUAGGACUGUUUCGAUGUUCUGUUGGAAUGGUGCUUUAACUGAGUAUCAAAGUGUGUAGUGAAAGCUGGUGGAGUGAGCUUCCCUUGGAAUUCAGAUGUUCGCACCUACUAACUUUAGUGCUCCCCUGCGCGGUUCGCCUGUAGCAGUGGUUCUCAGACUUGAGCGUGCGUCAGUAGUCCUUGGAAGGCUUAUGAAAACAGAAGAGAUGCUUACGAGACUAAAACUGGAGAAAUUAGUAGGACUUUGGCCCCACUGCUGGAAAGCGAUAAGCUAAGCCCUAGAACCAGGAAAGUUCUACCUAAAUGAGUGUUCACACGUUAAAGCAACUACGACAUAUCAAUGUGUUCUGCAUAUAAUCGUGGUAGAGGCUGCUGUGAUACCAGUUUCUGCAGGCGUUUUCUCAAUUCUGUCAAAUCCUGACUAUGCCGCUGCAUUCAUUGACCUCAACACAGUGAAUAAAGCGCACAGCACACCAGUUAAAAAAGAAAUCAGCUUGAGAAUUGAGAACACCUGUCUGAAAACCAUGGCGUUGCCCUAAGAGAACUUUGUAUCUGGCUAAUUACUGGUUAAGCAUUUAAACCAAGGAAAGAAAGAUGGGCAAAGUGAUGUCCAGAGAGGCUGAGCUGGGUGGAUGUGACUGAGAAGAAAAGACUUGGGGCUGCAAAUUCCCGAGAGAGAAUAUUUCAAGGCUCUGGUUAAAUUGUCAUGAAGUUCUGGUGCUAUUCUCUAACUUUCUUGAAGUUGCUGAUCAUCCUAAACAAAUUCUUCUUCAGUCCUACCUACCCUGAGCCAAGUAUUUCUAGAGCAUGGUGAUCUAAUGGAAAGAGCCAAACUUGGGAGUCAGGAACUACUGACUGAGCCUCGUCCUGCUGUGGACUAGCUAAGUGAACUGGGAUAAUCUCUGAUCCUCUCCAGACCUUAAUGUCUUCACUUAAAAAAUUGAGAGAACAGUAUAUUAGUACUUAACAUCAGAGCUGUGACAAUCACAUUAGAGAAUUCAGUUCUCUGGAGGAACUGAAGUAAGCCAGGGUGCAAGCCCUUCCCCAGAGGCAAGUAGGAAUACGGUGGAAGGUUUCUGCAGAGGCUGUAGAGAGCGUGGGGAGAACGAGAUCUGGCCGUGACUACGAUCCCUGAACUAGAGGAAGUUGUAGAGUUGUGAGAGUUUUGUUUUCUUUGGGUGAGAGCGUUCUCAAGUGUGGAUGACAGAGAAGCACAGGGAGUGAGCCGCCAUGUAAUUUAAA